rnacentral:rRNA from 1 species
ACGGCGGGUGCUAACGUCCGUCGUGAAAAGGGAAACAACCCAGACCUACAGCUAAGGUCCCCAAGUCAUGGCUAAGUGGAAAACGAUGUGGAAAGGCAUAGACAGCCAGGAGGUUGGCUUAGAAGCAGCCAUCCUUUAAAGAAAGCGUAAUAGCUCACUGGUCGAGUCGGUCUGCGCGGAAGAUUUAACGGGGCUAAGCCAUGCACCGAAGCUUAGGGUGUGCACACACAGGUGUGUACGCGGUAGAGGAGCGUUCCGUAA